rnacentral:tRNA from 1 species
UAGUAAAAUCAGCUAAAU